UACGUAGGGUGCGAGCGUUGUCCGGAAUUAUUGGGCGUAAAGAGCUCGUAGGCGGUUCGUCGCGUCGGCUGUGAAAACCCGGAGCUCAACUCCGGGCCUGCAGUCGAUACGGGCGGACUUGAGUGUUGCAGGGGAGACUGGAAUUCCUGGUGUAGCGGUGAAAUGCGCAGAUAUCAGGAGGAACACCGGUGGCGAAGGCGGGUCUCGUGGGCAACUGACUGACGCUGGAGGAGCGAAAGCGUGGGGAGCGAACAGG
rnacentral:rRNA from 1 species